rnacentral:rRNA from 1 species
CUACGGGGGGCACCAGUGGGGAAUAUUGGACAAUGGGGGAAACCCUGAUCCAGCAAUGCCGCGUGUGUGAAGAAGGCCUGCGGGUUGUAAAGCACUUUCGGUUGGGAGGACUGCUUCUAGCACUAAUAUUGUUGGAAGUUGACGUUACCUUCAGAAGAAGCACCGGCUAACUCCGUGCCAGCAGCCGCGGUAAUACGGAGGGUGCACGCGUUAGGCGGAAUUACUGGGCGUAAAGCGCGCGUAGGCGGCUAGAUCAGUCGGGUGUGAAAGCCCCGGGCUUAACCUGGGAACUGCAUCCGAUACUGGCUAGCUUGAGUACAGGAGAGGAGAGUGGAAUUCCACGUGUAGCGGUGAAAUGCGUAGAUAUGUGGAGGAACACCAAUGGCGAAGGCAGCUCUCUGGCCUGAUACUGACGCUGAGGUACGAAAGCGUGGGGAGCAAACAGGAUUAGAUACCCUAGUAGUC